GGAAGUAAAAGCGUAACAAGGUUUCCGUAGGUGAACCUGCGGAAGGAUCAUUAUUGUAUAACCGAGGUGCGAGGGCUGUCGCUGACCCGAAAGGUCGUGCACGCCCGAGUGCCCUCACACACAUCCAUCUCACCCCUAUGUGCACCACCGCGUGGGUCCCCCUUUGGCUUGUUCGGAGGGGGGCUUACGUUUUCACACAAACUUUGUAUGCAGUGUAGAAUGUAUUUUUUGUUUUUGCGAUCACGCAAUCAAUACAACUUUCAACAACGGAUCUCUUGGCUCUC
rnacentral:misc_RNA from 1 species